CUGGAGAGUAACGCAUGCAUUUAAAUUCAGGGGCAUCAGAACACUGAGGACUCUCACUCUUCCUGCUCCAGAGGAAGAGGGCUAUAAACGCUUGAAAAAACACAGUUGGGAGAAUAAUUGGAAGUGAAUUCGAUGUCUUCAUCCUCUGAGGAUGCGAGUGCAUGUGCCUGCUGGAAAUUACUCUUUCACAAAAUGUGUAUGUCUCUGGAUUUGAGCUUCCCUGGGCUGUGGGGAGCCUGAUACCAUGUUUCCAUUAUUAUAAAACCUUACUAUAAAAAUAGGCUUUAUGACUUCUGGAAACUCUAACUUCUGGAAACUCUAGACGUAGCCUUGAAGGCAAGAUGGUAGCUCAGGUAGGUAUUCUUUAGCAGUGACUACAGNNNNNNNNNNCUCUCUCUCUCUCUCUCUCUCUCUCUCUCUCUCUCUCUCUCUCUCUCUCUGUCCCCCUGCCCACUGAAUCCCUUGACGGUCUCAUUCAUGCUCAGACCCUGUCCCAUUCUCUGCUGGACUUGACAACUUAGUUGAGCCAAGAUUGGAGCACUAACUGCAGGUGAUUUGGAUAACUUUCUUUAAGGAUGGGUCUUAAGGGUGGGGGUGGGUUAUUUACUGUAUUAACAUAUGCCUAGUAUCCCAAUUUCUGUCUGAAAAGGACUAGAAAAGUAUGGUCUCAAAUUCGGGUUUAAGUUUCCAUCAGCGUGAUUGGGUAGUAAUUGAAGAUUAAACUACUAUAGACUAGGUGCUCACAAAGCAACUACACAAGCCGCACAUUCCCUGCUCCAAACCAUCCUGAUAACUAGAAGUUGGAACAGUUGCACUUAAAAGACUCCUGGGGGAAAGGCACAUGGGCAGUGUUGCUUGCUCUUUGCUGCAAGCAAAACAAGCUCUGGUCAUUUAAAUGCCAGCCUGUCGGUACAGGCCUACCAGUGCAAUCCUAAGCCAAAACU
rnacentral:lncRNA from 1 species